GAGUUUGAUCCUGGCUCAGAUUGAACGCUGGCGGCAUGCCUUACACAUGCAAGUCGAACGGCAGCAUGAUCUAGCUUGCUAGAUUGAUGGCGAGUGGCGAACGGGUGAGUAAUACAUCGGGACGUGCCCUGUAGUGGGGGAUAACUAGUCGAAAGAUUAGCUAAUACCGCAUACGACCUGAGGGUGAAAGUGGGGGACCGCAAGGCCUCAUGCUAUAGGAGCGGCCGAUGUCUGAUUAGCUAGUUGGUGGGGUAAAGGCCCACCAAGGCGACGAUCAGUAGCUGGUCUGAGAGGACGAUCAGCCACACUGGGACUGAGACACGGCCCAGACUCCUACGGGAGGCAGCAGUGGGGAAUUUUGGACAAUGGGCGAAAGCCUGAUCCAGCAAUGCCGCGUGUGUGAAGAAGGCCUCGGUU
rnacentral:rRNA from 1 species